UCAGUAGCAGUAUAAAUUGACCGUGCGUCUUUUUAGAAGCUCAUUCAGACUUGGAACAUGGUGUCAGUAUAUUAAAUGCAGCACUCGCCUUCCUAAUUACCUGGAUUUUUCCGAUGUCACAUCAAAAAGGUGCAUGGGGGUGGAGUCAAGGAGGCGGAGGAUCUCGAAGAGGAAGAAGAAGACACCAAACAAGAGGCUAUUAUGACAUGGACGAAUACCGACGUCAAGGGCAAGGAAGGGUAAGAGGAAGAGGACAAAGAAGACAGAUUGGGUUCGAACGAUUAAGAGAUCUCACAGAUGAAGACAAUGUUGAAAAUAUAACUUUAGAACUCGCAAGUGAUAAAAGUGGUUUUGAGUCAAUGUUACAUAGUUCUUUUAUGCGCAUGGAUGAAGUCUGUCUUGUCCUUGAUGUGGUAGUCAAAAUAACCCGUACGCAUCAAAAAGAAGGCCUGAAAAAGGUUCUGAAGAUGCUAUGCACAUCUGGUUUUUUGGAAACCCAUCUUGUAAGGUUUAUCGAACAGCUCCGAACAUACUCUGAGAUUGAAUACAAUUGUGACAAUGUGUGCGUUAUAUGUCAGGAAAUACUGAAGAAACUCCCAAGGUAUGCAGAGGAAUGCAUUGUUGCUUUACAAUUUAUUGGGGAAGUGUUCUAUGAUAGCGGUUUGAUCCAUGAUAACCCUGAACUUGAAGCAUAUAGAGCAGAUUUGGAGGAGACAUGUAUUCAGCACAUGCAGUAUGGUUUUGAAAGAGAGGAUGAAGAACCACCGAACAACUACAGGGAUCUAGAGAUGUUUCCCAGCCCCCAGGAGUUGCUGGCAGAUGAGAAGCCAUUCCUGAGGGAGAACAAAGACAAGGGAGCCUACUCUAACUUAGACACUUACCUUGAUGUUCAGUUCCGGUUAUUACGGGAGGAUUACAUCCAACCAUUGAGGAAAGGUAUACUUGCGUACCAACAAUGCAAAUUAGACCAAGUUCCAAACAAGGUUGCAGAUACAUGGUUGUAUCACAAUGUACACAUAAUCCGCUCGAUUUGCUCUGAUGAUGUUGACACACGGUUGACAUUUGAUGUUUCUCGUGUUGGAAGAAUUCGAUGGCAGUCAACUAAAAGGUUGAUCUAUGGUUCUCUGGUUUGUCUCUCAAAUGACAACUUUGAGACGAUGCUCUUUGCAACUGUAACAAACAGAACUGUUCACGAUUUAUUGAAAGGGAACAUAGAGGUUAGGUUUGAGCAAGAUUUUGACAUUGUACUCAACAUAUCUCCAACUGACACAUUCAUUAUGGCUGAAACCCCAGCUUACUUUGAAGCCUAUAGGCAUGUCCUUUCAAAACUGCAACAGAUCGAAGACUCCCUUCCAUUCCAACAGUAUCUUGUUGACUGUGAAACAAACAUCCAAGAACCGGAAUAUAUAGAUCAUAGUGUGCGAUACAAUAUGACUGCUCUUGGAGGAUACAUGUACAGGGCAUAUCUUUCAUCAGUACCAUUACUAGACACAAGAAAAUGGCCACCACUGAAGGUUUAUGAUCUCAAUGAGGUUCAGCUACAGGCAGUGAGGAUAGCUCUUACGAAGGAACUUGCCAUUAUUCAAGGCCCACCAGGCACAGGCAAGACAUAUGUGGGCCUGAAGAUCAUGGAAGUUCUCUUGGAGAACAAAGCUCAGUGGUCAUAUCCAGGGUCCAACAAUGUGAUCCUUGUUGUCUGUUACACAAACCAUGCCCUGGAUCAGUUCCUUGAAGGAAUUCACAAGUUCCAUCCAUAUGGUAUCAUUCGAGUCGGAGGGCGAAGCAGUAGCAAAAUUCUUGAACCUUACAACCUGAAAGAACUACGCAGUGACAGAAGGAGAAAGAAAAAGAUGAGAAGGAUUGUUCAUGACAAUUAUUGGGAAUGUAAAAACCAAAUGGCUGCUAUCAAAAACACAAUUGAGGAGGUAGGCUGUAGGAUCGAGGCAAGCAUGCUUGGUGUUCUUCAUGAAGAUGUAUUGAGGCCACAUAUGGAACUUAAUCACUUUAGAAGCCUUCUAAAGAAGUUCAGAAUGGGUAGACAAUCAGCCAUUUUAACAUGGCUUGAGUUCAGAGACCUACCAGCUAGUACUCGAGCUGAAAAAACAUUCCAACGACUCAUAGAUUAUUGGACAAAAGCAGUUCUGGAUUAUGUCAGUUAUCAAGGACCCAUCAAAGAGGAUUUUUUCGAUAAUGGUCAGAUUCUGUCAAUGCCAUUUGUUGAGAGAGCUCAUAUGUACAAAUUAUGGCUUGAACAGUUUAGAUUUAAUGUCAAUCGGGGAAAAGAAAAAAUAGAGACACAGUGUCAAGAUGGAACUAUGACCAAUAGAGGUGGCCAUUUCAUUCUUCAAAAGUUGACUUCUCAGCUCAAACAGGCAAUGAUCUCCAUACUUCCAGAUGCUCUUUUACAGCAGUUUGUUCCAAGGCCUGUAUACAAGCUUAUCAAGGACACAUACUCUGAACACAACGAGGAAUACUCAAUCAAAGUAUGGCUUGGAGCUACACCACUUGUAGCUGUCGAUGAAGAUGAACUCUAUGAUGCCAUUGAAGAACUGGAUGAAAUCAAAUCAGGACUCUCAAAGGCAGAUGAAACAGCAGCUAUCAUUACCGGACAGAGAUUUGUUGAUGAUGAGGUUGAUAUUGUUUCAAAGCCAUCAGUUCAGAUGUCAAAGGCCACAAAUAAGUUGGCUCUGAGUUUUCAAUCGCUUCAUUACACCAAAUUACAUGAAGGAAACCAGAGUGCCAAUGAACAAGUUCAAUCUGCACACAAACGAAAGCAGAAGAAACGACUAGAGAAAAUUUUAAUGGAUGCACAACCCAUUAAUGCACAAAUAUUGCAAUGCAGGGAUGUGUGGGAUCUGAAUAUGAAUGACCGGGAAUCACUGUACAAGACAUGGGUGACAAGGUAUCAGCUUUAUUGCAAAUCAUCCAUCAAAGAUAAAGAACAGGAAUACAGACAAUUAGCAAAGAGGCGGAAGGAAGUCUUGAGGGAAGAGUAUAAAGAUAUUCUCUCUCAAGCAGACAUCAUUGGAAUGACAACUACAGGAGCUGCUAAACAUGCAGCUCUUCUUGAAGCUGUAGCGCCUCGUAUUGUCGUAGUAGAGGAGGCUGCUGAAGUCCUGGAGUCCCACAUAAUCACUGCCCUCAACACUGAGUGCCAACACCUCAUUCUCAUAGGAGACCACCAACAACUCAGACCAAACCCUACCGUCUAUGAACUGGCGAGGAAAUACCAUCUUGACAUAUCGCUGUUUGAAAGGUUGGUGAAGAAUGGGUUACAUCAUGUGACUUUAGAAUUCCAACACAGAAUGAGACCGGAGAUAUCUGUCCUAAUGAAACACAUUUACCCAACAUUGAAGGACCAUACCUCUGUUACAAACUUUAACUCUAUACGUGGUGUUGACAAGAACGUGUUUUUCCUUUCCCACCAGCACAGGGAACACCAUCUGAAUGAGACUAUGAGUAAGUCAAAUGAGCAUGAAGCAUCUUUCAUCAUAGCCUUGUGCAAGUACUUUCUGCUCCAGGGCUAUGAAGCAUCAGACAUAACAAUACUUGCUGCUUACACAGGACAAAUUUCAUUAAUCAAGAGACUCAUGGGAAAGGAGAAUGACCUCUUCCUAGAUGUGCGUUUGACUUCUGUUGACAAUUUUCAAGGAGAAGAAUGCAAGAUUAUCCUUUUGUCAUUUGUCCGCAGCAAUGAGGAAGGAUCUGUUGGAUUCUUGAGUAUUGACAAUAGGAUUUGUGUUGCACUCUCACGAGCAAAGGAAGGAAUGUUUGCUUUUGGGGAUUUUACUCUAUUUGCAGAAAAAAGCCCACUGUGGGCCAGUAUUGUACAGACGCUACGAUCAACAAACUCCAUUGGUCCAGUCCUGCUUCUGAGGUGCAGGAACCACCCGGAGAUAACAGUGUCAGUCUCAUCUGCUAGUGACUUUAACAAGGCUCCCAGAGGCGGAUGCACAAAGAGUUGUGGUGUCAGUCUCAUGUGUGGUCACAAGUGUGAUGAAAUUUGUCAUGUAAAUGACAUGGAACAUAGAGAGCAUAAAUGUCAGAAACCAUGCAAAAGGCUAUGUGACAAAUGUGGACAAAGAUGUUUGAAGAGAUGCUUUCAAAAAUGUAAAUGCACUAACAUGGUAAGAAAGACAAUACCUAAAUGUGGUCAUACAAAAGAAAUGCAGUGUGACUCAGAUCCUUCACUUUGGAAGUGUAGCAAAUUGUGCAUGGUGGUUCUGCCAUGCAGGCACAGAUGCGCUGGUAUUUGUGGAGAAUGUAAAAAUGUACAGUCUGGCCACAUGAAGUGCAUGAAGCCUUGUGCACGGCAUCUUUCCUGUGGUCAUUCAUGCAGAGGGGUUUGUGGAGACUGUACACGAAAUGGCUGCAUGGAAAAGUGUGAACAAAUCGUCAAUGUAAAACUAAAAUGUGGACAUAAUUGUCGUAUGCAUUGCCGAGACUCAAAGAAAAACUACAAAUGCUCUCAUAAAUGCGAGCAAAAUCUGACUUGUGGACACAAGUGCAUGCAAAACUGUAGCCAAUGCAGUCUUUUGGGUCAUGUCAAGAAGUGUGCUGUUACAACGAAAGAGACACUUCCGUGUGGACAUGUUAUUGAAAGUGAAUGCCACAAGUCAACUUUACAGAUGAAGUGCAUGAAGCCUUGUGCACAACAUCUUUCCUGUGGUCAUUCAUGCAGAGGGGUUUGUGGAGACUGUACACGAAAUGGCUGCAUGGAAAAGUGUGAACAAAUCGUCAAUGUAAAACUAAAAUGUGGACAUAAUUGUCGUAUGCAUUGCCGAGACUCAAAGAAAAACUACAAAUGCUCUCGUAAAUGCGAGCAAGAUCUGACUUGUGGACACAAGUGCAUGCAAAACUGUAGCUGUUACAACGAAAGAGACACUUCCAUGUGGACACGUUAUUGAAAGUGAAUGCCACAAGUCAACUUUACAGAUGAAGUGCAUGAAGCCUUGUGCACGACAUCUUUCCUGUGGCCAUUCAUGCAGAGGGGUUUGUGGAGACUGUACACGAAAUGGCUGCAUGGAAAAGUGUGAACAAAUCGUCAAUGUAAAACUAAAAUGUGGACAUAAUUAUCGUAUGCUUUGUCAUUCUACUAAAUGGGAUUUCAAAUGUGUUUGUGACCAAACAUAACGUUCAAAGAGUCCAGAUGUAGCGCAUCGUUUAAGGAUGACCGUCUACCCGGUUUGAAAAUUGGAAUGACAUCUUAUUUGAAACCACCAGGAUACCUAUGUUCGUUGUAAUGAAAUGUCGCCAUGAACACUUCUGUGAACACACUCUUUUUUGAGUGCAGUUGUUGAGUGUAAAUUAUUGCUACUUUAGUUUUUUAACAUGACACAAAGCCAACACUCACUAUUCAAAUAUGAUAAAAUGACACAAAACCCAAGCUGUUCCAAUACGAUUAGACGAGACAUAACCUGACCAUCAAAGUGAAAGUCCGAGUUAGAAUAGGUCUUCAGCAACCCAUGCAUGUCAUAAGAGCAGACUAACGAGAUCGGAUGGUCAGGCUCGCUGACUUGGUUGAUGUAUGUCAUUGUAUCCAAAUUGCGUAUAUAGUUGCUCUUGAUGUCGAUCACUGAAUUGACUGGUCCGAUUCGAUUAUUUCAGACCACUGUCAUAUAGCUAGAAUAUUGCUGAAUUAUUUAUUGCUUGAAUAUUGUUCGUUAAACAACAAACGAAACCUGACAAUCAUUAUUAUGGUGUUAUAACAUGACACAAUUCCUAACAGUAACUAUUAAUGCGAAAGUAGUAACCUUAAGUAAAAGGUGACUAUGCUUGUCGUAAGAGGCGACUAACGGGAUCGGGUGGUCUCUGACUUGGUUGAUGCAUGUCAUUGAUCCAAAUUGCGUGGAUCGAUGCUCAUGACAUUAAUAACUUAAUUGUCUGGUCCAGACUCGAUUAUUUCCAGACCGCCGUCAUAUAGAUGGAAUAUUGCUGGGUGCGGCGUUAAACAACCAAGUAACCUUGAACAGUAUUUACGAAACAGGACGUCCUACCGUAGCCUUUCAGAUGAUUAAAGUUAUUUUGAGGAUUAUAUCACGCGAAAAAAGUAUUCUGGCUUUGGAUGUCUUAGGGUAGCAUAGUUUAUCAACUACAUUACAAGUUUAACAUGAAAGCAGGAACGUUUGUAUGGUUAAAAACAUGACCUGAUGAAGGUGCAAGAAAUUGUUCCUGAAAUAUCCCGAUAAACAAUAACGAAAUUGCUAUCGAUGAAAAGCUCCAACUCUUGUUCGUGACAUCAGUUAAGUUGAGUUCAAAGAUGUUAAACAUUCUUUUUACCACUAUUUUGCCUUUUACACCCAGCUGAAUCUGUUUCAGCAGAUAAUGGAGGCUGAAAUAUUUGAAAUAUUUCACGUUUGAAAUAUAGGUCAAUUUCAUAUUGCGGUGUAGUGAAUGGAAUGGAUAGUAGCAGUUGGUAAAUAAGCUGCUGUGUAUAUUUUGUACAUGCAUCCCCAAAGACAAAACGCUUUCUUCAUCUCUAUAUAUUUUAUAUUGGAAUAUAACUGUUAGUAACAUGUUUCUAUUUCUUUUUCGCUUAUUGGUUAAUAUUUCGUAUUAGGGAUUUCUAACUAUCACAGGUGUCGUAUGUAUAUCAUAAGCAUGUUGUUCGAUAUAAGUAAACCCUGCAGAAGUAGUUGUGAUUAAGUGUCAAAGAGAAUUCUACAUGACAAAAUAUGUUUGCUUGAAACCAUGUUGUAAAUAUUGUGUGAACAAUCAGAUCUUACGUUACACAACUGUAAGCCAUGUGACCCUUCAAAACAAAGCAUCACUUGAUUCUGUUUCUGUUCCUUCGUAUCAUAAUUGAAUUGAAGUACCUCGUAGACAAGGAUCCACAAAAAUUGUCAUCACAAAAGUAAUAAUAAAUUAUGAAUACAAAUUAUAGACAAAUUGGUAUUGUUUUUUUAUUUCACCCAUCUUUAAUAUCUUAUUAUUGUUAUUAAUGCUGUGUAAUGUAUUACAGUUUGAUACGUGUAUCAUAUUAAGGUUGUUUGUGUAUAACACUGGAUGAAAAACAAUUCCUGCUUAUGUCAAAAGAAUUACAAAUAUAUGUAAAACCAUCACUGACAAUGAAGAACUAGAUUCUUCUUAAACUGGUAUUAUAGGCAUGUUCCUUCUUAAAAAGUUACUCAUACAUUUUGUUUAAUCUAUGUGUGUAUAUAUUGGUUCCACUUUCCCCUGUUUGUGUGCAACAAGUUGUUGCUGAAACGUUAUCAGUUAGAUUCACAGUGCUGUAUCCUUUAAAUGGUGUUUAUCAUUAAACAAAAUAAAAUGAC
rnacentral:misc_RNA from 1 species